UCGCCCACUCCUCCUCACGCCCGCACGACCUAUCGCCUCCUCCUCCUCCUCCCAACGGAAGUCACAGCACGGAAGGGCAGCCGCGGGAGCCACCGACCGAUGGAGCCACCCUUCGCCGUAGGUCGCCGCGGGAGCCGUCGCGCUCUUAGCCGCGGGACGCCGCCCUUCGCCGCAGGUCGCCGCGGGAGCCGCCGACGGAGCCGCCCGCCGCGCCCUUCGAGCCGCAGGUCGCCGUUCCUCUUCUGCUUCCCGGCGGCCAAAUGUGAGCGUACAACCAAGAGCAUGUGGCAGAGGAGCGGAGGCAUCGGACGCAACAUGGGGCAGAGGAGCAAUGGCGUGAUGGUUGCGCAGAGGGAAUGUUCGUGAGGACGAAACGGUAUGAAGCAGUAACUCUACUAGAGAACAUCAUGGAUAUGGAGGUGGAGCACCCAUGCUUUUCAUAGAUAUAGAUACUGAUAUUGCCAGGUUCCGGUGAAGGGUAAUCAUUGUCAUAUGUGUAUUCUGGAAGUUGAAACGAUUAAAUACAUACCCCUGAGGAUUUGGAUGAACAGUAUGUCAAUGUCAACCUAGAUGAUGGUGACUUCUUCUGCGCCGAGCAUCGUCAUCAAGGAAUCUGCACUUUCCCAUAUAUAUACCACGAGGUACUCCUGAAGUUGCAAGAAAAAUACUACAGAAAAGCUUGUGAACUUUUGGAGGAUGUUUUGAAGACUAACAAUUGAAGAUUUACUACAUUUAAGCACCCUGGUUAAACCCAUGUAUGCCUUUUAGUUUUUUGGGCAAAACCUAAGUAUGCCUUAACAAGGAGAUUUGUAAAUUUGUAUAUUCUUUCUUGUGUACAAGGUAUUGGACCGAUGUAUGCUUCUAUUCUUGUAUUUACUUCUUGCUUGGACACUUGAACUAAUGUAUGGGUGAUGUUUACUGACCAA